rnacentral:rRNA from 1 species
GACGAACGCUGGCGGCGUGCUUAACACAUGCAAGUCGAACGGAAAGGCCCCUUUGGGGGUACUCGAGUGGCGAACGGGUGAGUAACACGUGAGUAACCUGCCCUUGACUUCGGGAUAACUUCAGGAAACUGGGGCUAAUACCGGAUAGGAAUCCUUGCUGCAUGGUGGGGGUUGGAAAGCUUCGGCGGUUUUGGAUGGACUCGCGGCUUAUCAGCUUGUUGGUGGGGUAGUGGCUUACCAAGGCAUUGACGGGUAGCCGGCCUGAGAGGGCGACCGGCCACAUUGGGACUGAGAGACGGCCCAGACUCCUACGGGAGGCAGCAGUGGGGAAUAUUGCACAAUGGGCGGAAGCCUGAUGCAGCAACGCCGCGUGCGGGAUGACGGCCUUCGGGUUGUAAACCGCUUUCAGCAGGGGCGAAGCUUGUGGUGACGGUACCUGCAGAAGAAGCACCGGCUAACUACGUG